rnacentral:rRNA from 1 species
UACGAAGGGGGCUAGCGUUGCUCGGAAUUACUGGGCGUAAAGAGUGUGUAGGCGGUGCUCUAAGUUCGGUGUGAAAUCUCCUGGCUCAACUGGGAGGGUGCGCCGGAAACUGGAGUGCUUGAGCGUGGGAGAGGAAAGCGGAAUUCCUGGUGUAGCGGUGAAAUGCGCAGAUAUCAGGAGGAACACCGGUGGCGAAGGCGGGUCUCUGGGCCGAUAUUGACGCUGAGGAGCGAAAGCGUGGGGAGCGAACAGG